UUAAGAGAUACUAUUUUAAUGUAAACUAAAUCAUAAAGCUUGUUGGAAAUUUGGUGUGUUACAAAGAUUGUCUAUAAUCAACUACAGUUGGGUUUUUCUGUUCCUGAAACACAACUGAGGGCAUGUGUUUCCGUUAGUGAAGCCAUCAAGAUCAUUUGUAGGGAGCAUCUCUCUCUCUCACUUGGUGAAGAGAGUGAAGCUUUGAUUGAAGUUGAAGGGCAAGGGUAGAAAAAAGUGAGUGAAGCCUUCCAAUUCAAAUCCAAGAUCAGAGAAAUCUGAUUAUAUCUUUUUACAUUUCAGUAGUAUUUUUAAGGUACCAAUUUAUUUCCGCAAAUAACUCAAUUCAGUUCACUACACAUCAUCAAGAAAGACCAUUGUUAAUAGAAGGAUCAAGGUUAACAGCCCUGGUUCACAAUGCAGAAAUCAAAAUCUUAGCUAUUUUGUUUUGUUUUGGUGUUUUAAAGUUUGUUAGCUAUGUUUAGCCUUAUAACUUUUCUUUAUAGUCGUUGUGAUGUAGAGGAAUAACCUAUAUAUAGAGCCUCCCUCAUACAUUGUGAUUAAUUCAUCAAUUUUUCAAUAAACAAACACUUUCAGUUUUUUUUAGAGUUGUGCUUUCAUCAAGUGCCUUUCUGAAUUCAUUCUUUCUUACUUGGAUCUGAGAGGAUCAAGAUUUCAAGAAGAUUCAUCAAUCAUCAAGAUCAAAGGAUUGAUAAUUUUGUGAAGAGUGAGAUUAGGGCCUUGUGAUCAGUGAGAAAGUAGUGUUUUAAUCAGUGACAAACAAUCUUCAAGAUUAUUAGGAUUUCAUCAGUUUUUGACAUUCUGUUCUGAGGAACAUCUGAGUGUGUAUAGGUUCAAUUAUGAGUCUAAAAGCCAGGGAAUAACAUCAUCUUCCUCUCCAUAUUGGUGCAACUUCGUAUCAGAGCCACGGUUGUUUUGAGGAAUUCAACCAAGGAGAAGGAGGCAAACUUACAGUGUAGAAACAAGUGCAGAAGAUCAUUCGGGGCAUAUUUCUGAUAAGGUAUCUGGUUCAAAUGAAAACUCGUGAUUUUGAUUCAACAGCAUAUGCAGGUAUCCCAUGUCAAAAUUUCUUUGUAAUUUUUUCAAUUAAAUCACCAUUAUUCAAGCAAAGCAGAAGAUCAAUCAGUAUAACAGUGGUAAAGUGUUUUGAUAUUUAAAGAUUUCUUUUCUUGAAAAACGUAUCUGAAUUUUGUGCCUUAAUUUCGUGUUCUUUUUAUUUUGUGUGCAUUUUCUUGUUGAUAGAUUCAUGAUGGAUGUAGAGGAGAGAUUAGAUGUUCGCACUAACAUGGUUCAACAAUUGGCUCUAACUAUGGCUAAUACAGUAAGCAUGGUGUCAAAACUCAGCCGAGUUGACUCGAAACGGCCGAGUUCACAUGAUUUUUCAAGACACCGUUCCGAGAAUUCGCAAUUUGUAACAGUGGGUAGAAAAACGGCGCAUUAAAACGGUUAUCGGCCUUUAUGACCGUUCCAAACCGGAUCUAAACCCUUUUCACGGGCGAGUUUGAUCGUUCCAAACCAAUUGACAAGCUGCAGCUUCAGCCCUCAGGAUACCUUCAUUCACAGCGUCGUCCCCUUCUUCAAUCUUCAUCAUCAUCAUCAUUCAUCAGAGCUGUCCUUCAUCGAAUCAUCAGUUCAUCACCAUAUCUUCAUCCUUCAUCACCAUCUUCGUCCUUCAUCACCAUCUUCAAUCUUCAGUAAUUAGUCUUUAUCUUCUUCAUAGUGUCAGUCGACUUCUUCAUCGUCUUCAAAGACCCUUUUUACAAUUUUAAGUUGAAGAUCUUCAUGGAUUCUUACCCACCACCAUCUGGAUUUUCGAAGAUGGGGGUCGUCUUUUAAUGAUAAUGGAAAUUCACUACCGAAUGAAGGAACUCAAUUUGAAGAGAGUGUUGAUCGCUUGUUCGAUGAGGAUAAAGAUACAAGAUUACCAAUUAAAAAACAGAAAAAUCAACGUCGUGCAACUACUGGUACGAGGAGUAAUAGGUCAAAAUGGUGGGAUCAUUACGCAGUUGAUGAAUUGAAUUCGACAAUUGCUCAUUACCCAGAUGCAUCACUUCAAACACACGUAUCUUCUUCUUCCCUUUUCCCUCUCCUCUUCCAUCUCUCCUUUUAUGGCUGCUUCUUCAAGGUACUCAUCAUUUUGCGGUAAGGUGUAUUCCGGUACUACCAAAAGACGACUUGAAAUCCCUAACGUUAAUUCCAUUGAAGUUGGUGAUAGCUGGGUAAGGUUGAAGAAAUGUUAUUGUGACCCAACAAAGUUCUAUGAUAUUAGGGUUUCGGGUUCAAUUAACAAUCUGGGAAGAAUCUACUACAAAUGUAUGUCGUGCCAAGCUUUUGAAUGGGGUUAUGAUGCUGAUUUGAAGGAAAACCUUGAUGAAGCUCCACCUCCAAAGGUACAAGGUGUUGCUCCUGUAAUGAUGAAUGGGGAACAAUUUAAUGAACUCAAAGCUACUGUUCAAGGGUUGUCCAAGAAGGUUGAUAGCUUACUUAAGGUUGUGGUUUUCAUGAAAUUUGUUGUUAUGUUCUACCUACUGUUGGUUUUUCUUGCCAUUGUAAAGUAAGAUUGUAAGCAUUGAAAUGGUUUCUAUGUAUGUAAGCUUAGGUAUUAUGUUGGUUCUUGCCAUUUUAAAGUAAGAUUGUACUUUAUCUUUCUUUCCAAAACACAUGUU